rnacentral:misc_RNA from 1 species
AAAAUUUUCAUACUUGAUAGUUUAAGAGAAUUUGUGGAAGAACCAAUACCAUAUAGAGGAAAAUAUGUUUUUGCUGUAAAGCUUCCAUCUCCAAGAAAUUCUAUUUCGGGGUCUGACUUGCAAAGAGAUUCUCACCUCCCAAAUUUGGCCCGUGUUUGUUGAUUUUUAGGGUAAAAACCAAGUGGAAGUGAUGGUAUGUUGGGGAAGAAUCUAGCAGAAACUGAUGAAUGGUGGUGAUGCCAG